UGGGGAAUAUUGGACAAUGGGCGCAAGCCUGAUCCAGCAAUGCCGCGUGAGUGAAGAAGGUCUUCGGAUUGUAAAGCUCUUUCGACGGGGACGAUGAUGACGGUACCCGUAGAAGAAGCCCCGGCUAACUUCGUGCCAGCAGCCGCGGUAAUACGAAGGGGGCUAGCGUUGCUCGGAAUGACUGGGCGUAAAGGGCGCGUAGGCGGUUCGUACAGUCGGAUGUGAAAUUCCCGGGCUCAACCUGGGGGCUGCAUUCGAUACGUACGGGCUUGAGUUCGGAAGAGGGUCGUGGAAUUCCCAGUGUAGAGGUGAAAUUCGUAGAUAUUGGGAAGAACACCGGUGGCGAAGGCGGCGACCUGGUCCGAUACUGACGCUGAGGCGCGAAAGCGUGGGGAGCAAACAGG
rnacentral:rRNA from 1 species